GGGUGUGGGAUUUGGAUUGGGGUGUGGGAUUGGGGUUAGGACUGGAAUAAGAGAUUUGGGAUUGCGAUGGAUUGACACACGGUACAUGCGGCUGGGAUGUGGGAUUGGCAUUGGGAUUCGGGAUAGGGAUUGGGAUGCGGGAUACGGGAUUGGCAUGUGGGAUUGGGAAUGAGGUGUGGGAUUGGGAUUGGGAUUGGGGUUGGGGUUGGGAUAGGGAUUGGGAAUGGGAUGCGGGAAGUGGGUAUACGGGUACGGGACAGACUUGGCAAAGGUAUGGGAACGAUAUGGGGUGGAGUUGGGAUGGGAUAUGGAUAUGGGAUGGGAUUGGGAUGAUCAUAGGAUGGGAUAAGUAUACGGAAUGGAUAUGGGGUGGACACGGGAUGGAUGCGGGGAUAUGGAUUUGGGAAGGCUGUGGGAUGGAAAUGGAUAUGGGACAUGGGGUACAGGAUGGGGAUAGGAUAUGGGAUGUGCGGGUAUGGAUGUGGGAUGGCUUUAGGAUGGGGUAUGGGAUUGGAUAAGGGAUGGGACAUUGAUACGGGAUGGAUAAGGAGAUGGGAUCGGUCUGGGAUGAGAUAUGGAUUUGAGAUGGAUUUGGGAUGGUUAUGGGAUGGAUAAGGUGAUAUGGAUAUAGAAAGAGAUUUGGCAUGGAGUUGGGCUGGGAUAUGGAUAGGGGAUGAGAUAUGGGAUGGGAUACGGGGAUUUGGACAUGGGAUGGGCUAUGGAUACGGGAUGGAUUUGGGAUAUGGAUACGGGAUUGAUUUGGGAUAUGGGUGUGGGACGGAUAUGGUGGUUUGGAUAUUGGAAGGGUUAUGGAUACAGGAUGGGAUAUGGGAUGGGAUAUGGAUAUGGGAUGGCUACGAGAUGGGGCUGUAGUGGUUAUAGGGCCAUGGGGGCUAUGGGGCUGGGAUGCUGCAGUGUCCCCAAAGCACCCCCUGGUGUGACACACGGAGCCCCACAGCCGCUCCUCUGCCCUUUAUUCACUUGGGGGGGGCAUCCCCCAACGCCCCGUUAUCACAAAAUAAACCUUAAUCCCAAAAAUAAAGGGUGCCCCC
ensembl:lncRNA